rnacentral:rRNA from 1 species
GAUGAACGCUGGCGGCGUGCCUAAUACAUGCAAGUCGAGCGAAUGGAUUAAGAGCUUGCUCUUAUGAAGUUAGCGGCGGACGGGGGAGUAACACGUUGGUAACCUGCCCAUAAGACUGGGAUAACUCCGGGAAACCGGAGUUAAUACCGGAUACCAUUUUGAACCGCAUGGUUCGAAAUUGAAAGGCGGCUUCGGAUGUCACUUAUGGAAGGACCUGGGUCGCAUUAGCUAGUUGGUGCGGUAACGGCUCACCAAGGCAACGAUGCGUAGCCGACCUGAGAGGGUGAUCGGCCACACUGGGACUGAGACACGGACCAGGCUCCUACGGGAGGCAGCAGUAGGGAAUCUUCCGCAAUGGACGAAAGUCUGACGGAGCAACGCCGCGUGAGUGAGGAAGGCUUUCGGGUCGUAAAACUCUGUUGUUAGGGAAGAACAAGUGCUAGUUGAAUAAGCUGGCACCUUGACGGUACCUAACCAGAAAGCCACGGCUAACUACGUGCCAGCCGCCGCAGUAA